UGAUACCGCCACUUUUGUUGAUACUGACGACUAUGAUGAUUAUGUCUAUGAUUAUCAUGGUGAUGGUCAUGGUGAUGAUAAUAAUGGUGAUGAUGAUCACCAUGACGAUCAAGAUGAUUUUACACAAUUGUAAUUGUUACUUAAUCACAGUCCUUGAGAUCGUGAAAACUCGCAUCAUAUAUUAAGUUCAUAUACCUGUAUUCGUUACCGAUACUUUAUCAUUACGUUUUCACUAUUGCAUUUCUCGACGACCCGGGGGCCGAGGAGAUUUCGAACAACAUCGUGGACUACGUCUCCAAGGACGACACUCCAUACGACGAGGCUCGCGUCCGAGCUAUCUUCGGUUACAUUUGUGCGCUUCUUGAAGACCACCGCAUAGCGCCUAAAAACAUAACAAUUGAAACACUGACUCACUUUCGGUUGAGACGGAGAAUGCGGCGAAGGCCUCCGAACAGACGAAGCAGACUGCAGUAAACGUUCCAGUGCUAGCCGUGUGAGGAUUUAUACUUCGCCGCCAAAAACCAUGCUUUGCGCAUUUGAGACUUUAGAAAACAACAUUAUUGCAGAUCAUUAAAAUGUUAGCUGUGUUGGAAGAUAUUAAAAA